rnacentral:rRNA from 1 species
AGUGAACGCUGGCGGUAGGCCUAACACAUGCAAGUCGAACGGCAGCACAGUAAGAGCUUGCUCUUACGGGUGGCGAGUGGCGGACGGGUGAGGAAUACAUCGGAAUCUACUUUUUCGUGGGGGAUAACGUAGGGAAACUUACGCUAAUACCGCAUACGACCUACGGGUGAAAGCAGGGGAUCUUCGGACCUUGCGCGAUUGAAUGAGCCGACGUCGGAUUAGCUAGUUGGCGGGGUAAAGGCCCACCAAGGCGACGAUCCGUAGCUGGUCUGAGAGGAUGAUCAGCCACACUGGAACUGAGACACGGUCCAGACUCCUACGGGAGGCAGCAGUGGGGAAUAUUGGACAAAGGGCGCAAGCCUGAUCCAGCCAUACCGCGUGGGUGAAGAAGGCCUUCGGGUUGUAAAGCCCUUUUGUUGGGAAAGAAAAGCAGCAGGUUAAUACCCCGCUGUUCUGACGGUACCCAAAGAAUAAGCACCGGCUAACUUCGUG